GUGAGGAAUAUUGCUCAAUGGGCGAAAGCCUGAAGCAGCGACGCCGCGUGAGGGAUGAAAUCCGUUAGGAUGUAAACCUCUUUUGCGAGGGAAGAAUAUCCCCCUAUGGGGGAGGUGACUGUACCUCGUGAAUAAGCACCGGCCAACUACGUGCCAGCAGCCGCGGUAAUACGUAGGGUGCAAGCGUUGUCCGGAAUUACUGGGUGUAAAGGGUCCGCAGGCGGGCAAGCAAGUCGGUGGUGAAAGUUCACGGCUCAACCGUGAAAUUGCCUUCGAUACUGCUUGUCUUGAGUUCGAGAGAGGAUAAUGGAAUUCAUGGUGUAGCGGUGAAAUGUGUAGAGAUCAUGAAGAACACCGGUAGCGAAGGCGGUUAUCUGGCUCGAAACUGACGCUCAGGGACGAAAGCGUGGGUAGCAAACAGGAUUAGAAACCCCAGUAGUCC
rnacentral:rRNA from 1 species